CCUACGGGAGACAGCAGUGAGGAAUAUUGGUCAAUGGCCGGAAGGCUGAACCAGCCAUGCCGCGUGAAGGUCAGUGCCCUAUGGGCGUUAAACUUCUUUUGUGCGGGAGCAAUAAUGGUCACGUGUGGCCAGACGAGAGUACCGUACGAAUAAGCAUCGGCUAACUCCGUGCCAGCAGCCGCGGUAAUACGGGGGAUGCAAGCGUUAUCCGGAUUUAUUGGGUUUAAAGGGUGCGUAGGCUGUGAGGUAAGUCAGCGGUGAAAUGCCCCCGCUCAACGGGGUGAAGUGCCAUUGAUACUGCCUGGCUGGAAUGCGGAUGCCGUGGGAGGAAUGUGUGGUGUAGCGGUGAAAUGCAUAGAUAUCACACAGAACACCGAUUGCGAAGGCAUCUCACGAAGCCGCGAUUGACGCUGAGGAACGAAAGCCAGGGGAGCAAAUGGGAUUAGAUACCCUUGUAGUC
rnacentral:rRNA from 1 species